GGAGCUAGGGCUUCGGUGAUAUGUUGGCAUGUCUCCAACCAUCUGAUUUGUUUAAAACAUUUUAAUUUGGGCUUCUCCUUUUGAUUACCACUCAUGUGACGCAUUGACUGAGGACCAAAGUAAAUAGCUCGAGCUUGGCCAUCAGAUCUGCCACCUCAAUUAAUGAGGGAGAUCUGAUGGCCCUCGUUUAUCAGUUUUAUUUUUUAAUUCUGAUUUUUCAUUUAAUCCAUUUAUUUUGUUUAAUUAAUGAGGGAAAUCAUUUGAUGUAGUUGCUAGGGAUCCUUAGGAUGACAUUUU
rnacentral:lncRNA from 1 species